AUGCUGACGCCGGUCUCCACGGCCAUCUCAGACGCCGAGAAGCUCCUUGGCAAGCCCGUUCUGAAGGAGAAACAAGAGCAAAUGGAGCAGAUCGGAGCUUGGGAGAGGACCAUUCGAGUGGCGGCCCGGUUCAACCUUCGGCUUCUGGCUCUACCCUCCCUGCGUGAGGCCGAGGAAGCAGAGGUUGCCAAAGCCGGAGGUAAGCGACGGGCUGCGCGAGGUUGUGGCGGCGGAGGCCGGCGCAUGAAGCGGUCUAGGGGGAAUGAACCUCCGAUCCCUGCCGUCCCGCUCCGGGCGAUGGCGCCCGAACAACCACACUCCACAGCCAAUGUGAGCACCGGCGCGGCAGCCGAUGGGAUCUCCUCAACCUCUGCUGGCCAGAACCGUGGUUCGGCCGUGUUCGUCGCGACUUCAGAGGGCUCCGGGGAAUCUGCCUGGACUAUCGCGCUCCCAGGUUCGUGAGCAAAUAAAUCUCUCUCUCUCUCUCUCUCUUUUUCUUUUUAUUAAGGAAUCCUUAUCUUGGUGCAGGGGGGCUCGCUCGCGGGCCCGGAAGCGAAAGAGACUUCGACGCACACCACGGUUAUUGCGCCAUCCGCUUCUGGGGCCGAGCCGGAGCUGCACCUCGGGGCCGCGGCUGCUCCAGAGAAACCGGAGGCUGCCAUUCACCCCGCCGCUGCUCCGGAGACCUCGAGCGGUCGAGCGGGUCUAGUGGCCGACCCUUCCUCUACGCGAGACACACACGCCAGAGCAGACGCGGUCAUGGUGGCCGGAGCUGCGGCCGUUGAGCGCAGGGGCCGGGACACUGCGGAUCUUCACACGGAGUGGCUCCGGGUCCAGGACCUACAAGAGCAGGCUGCUGCUACUCUCGCCGAGGCGGAGGCAGCCAGGGACCCGUCUCGGUUGGCAGUGGCCCGUGCCGAUUCUGCGCGGCGACAGGCGGAGCACGACCUCACGCUGGUUCGUGCAGAGCUGGCCCGGGAGUGCGACCGCGCGGGAAGAUUGUCCAACGAGCUAGCCGCCACGAAGGCGGCCCUGGCCUCUCACAAGGAGGAGGUCCAGGCUUCCCAGGGUCGCUUUGAGCAGGCUCAGCUCAUCCUGGAGGAGCUUAACGUUCAUGCCAUUUAUGCCGCCCAGGCCCUCGUGCGUGCCUUCAGCAGCAUUGGGGUUCAAGGUCCGUCCCCGCCUCCGGAGGACAGCUCCGUCGCAAAGAAGCUCCGGUGGGUUGAGAAGGCGGGCAAGUUUGUGGCGAAGGCGUCGGCCGGCUACUGCUCGCCUCGGGCUCCGGAGUGA
rnacentral:lncRNA from 1 species